GCAUCUAAGCGGGAAGCGCGCCUCAAGAUGAGAUCUCCCGGGGCACAAGCCCCCUGAAGGAACCAUGUAGACUACGUGGUUGAUAGGUCAGGUGUGUAAGUACAGCAAUGUAUUGAGCUAACUGAUACUAAUGAUCCGUGCGGCUUGACCAU
rnacentral:rRNA from 1 species